GUAGUAUGAAGAGGGGGUAAGUUGAGGGGGUAAUUUUUUUUUAUUAAAAAAAAGGUAAAUUUGUAAUUUUAGGUUAUUUUACGGGUGUUAGUUAGAUAUUCGAGGGCGACGUUUUCCACUUCUUUUCACACAAUCUACAAAAUUGUUCAUCAUUGAAAAAAGACAGAGGGGAAAAAAAAAAACAAUUGUUACCCCUGUCCGAUAACUCGUCGUUUGGAAUUGUAAUUUGGUUCCACAAUAAACACCGACUGAAAAAAUUCCAAUGAAAGAUUCUACCUUUAUCCAACACUCUAUUACUCUCACUCAAAAUUCCACUGUAUAAGUAAUCAAAAUUCAAAAUUUGUGGGUUUAAUUUAGAAACUAAAAUUGAUGGGUGUUGGAGGAAAUUUCUGGGAUGCCCUAAAACCCUACGCUCGAUAUGAGGGUUUUGAUUUUAUGAGGAACAAGAAAGUUGCUGUUGAUCUUUCUUUAUGGAUUGUUCAACAUGAAACUGCCCUUAAAUCUUCCCGCGUUCGAAAUCCUCAUCUACGCCUCACUUUCCUCCGUACAAUUAACCUUUUUUCUAAGUUUGGAGCAUAUCCUGUAUUUGUUGUAGAUGGGAAGCCAUCGCACUUGAAGUCUAAAGCAAGGAUAGCACGGUAUUUCCGAUCAUCUGGCAUUGAUCCCAAGGAUAUGCCUGUUGUGGAAGAGGGUAUUUCGGUUGAUCGGAACAAGUUUUUUGUUAAAUGUGUGGAGGAGUGUGUGGAUCUUCUCAAGCAUCUUGGUAUGCCUUUUCUUAGAGCUAGAGGUGAAGCUGAAGCACUUUGUGCUCAAUUGAACAUUGAAGGUGCUGUAGAUGCUUGCAUUACAUCUGACAGUGAUGCUUUCCUUUUUGGCGCUAAGUGUGUGAUAAAACAUGUGGAUCCUAAAUCCACGGGACCAUUUGAAUGCUACUAUGUGGAGGACAUCGAAGUUGGUCUUGGCCUGGGGAGAAAACACUUAAUAGCGGUUUCUCUUCUGGUUGGGAGUGAUCAUAAUAUAAAUGGAGUGCAAGGAAUCGGGAUGGAAACAGCUCUUCGUUUUGUGAAAAAGUAUAAUGAAGACGAAGUUUUACAAAGGUUAAGCGAAAUAGGUUCUGGGCCCAUGUUUCCAUCUAAUGCCAAUGUUGGUUCUCCUGGAAAGUGUACAAGAAAUUCGGAUAUGUUGCAGAAAUCUAAAGCCCCUCAUUGCUCUUUUUGUGGUCAUCCAGGCAACAAAUCUCUUCAUAGACGAGUGCCUUGUGAGUAUUGUCAUAGCAUCGCAGGAGUGAAUUGUAGUAAAAAGCCUCCUAAGUUCAAAUGUGUAUGCUCUUGUUGUGACAGGGAUCGGAAGGAAAAGGAACUUAAGAAGAAUGAAUAUUUUCACUUAAGAGUUUGUAACAAGAUAUCCAUGGAGUGCAAUUUUCCUUGCAAUGAGAUUAUUGAAAUAUAUCUGAGAAAUGAAGAUAUUGCCGAAUACAGUGCACAUCUCUUGUGGAAAGAACCAGAUAUUGAAAUGUUAAUUGAUUUUUUGGCUUAUCAUCUGCAUUGGGAGCCAUCAUACAUUCGGCAGCAGAUAUUGCCGAUGUUCUCCACCAUUUUUCUGAGAGAGAUGGCUUUGAAUCCAAGUGAACUUCUCUUGCUUGAACAAUAUAAGUUUGACUCUAUUCAACGUCUAAAAAUGAGGUAUGGCCAUCAAUUUUAUGUGGUCAUUUGGAGGAGAUUUGCAUUAUCGAUGAGCGAUGCCAACCAUUCAGUACCUUCUGAAGGAUAUUCUAUAACAUCCGCUUCUGAAUCUGAAGAGACUCAAACAGAUGGAACUUGCAAUGGUUGGGAUGAGUUGCAUGUGCCUCAAAUUCAUGUUGAUGGUGAAAGCAGCUUUAUACUCACAGAUGAAAAUUUAGAGCUAGUCCAAGCUGCUUUUCCUGUAGAAGUUGACAAUUUUUUGCAGCAGAAGGAAGUGAAAGAAUCCAAGAGAAAAGUGACCAGAUCUAAGGGAACAUGCAUAGAGUCACCAUCUCCAAAUUCAGGCAGUGUUCAGCUAGCUAUUACUGACUAUUAUCGUUCAAGUAAACCACUAAAGCAGGCUAAAGACAACCAAAAUUUGGCUCAAAGUGAAGGAACUGGAUGUUUGAAAGAAAAGAGGAAGGCUUCAAGUCCAAGCCUUUCUAAAUCUGUGGUCUCAAGGAAGUUCUGUCAGCACGAAGAACCAUUGCUUUUGAGAAAUUGAGAGUCUAUGUAAUGUACUCCUUUCCUCUCUCCUCCACGGCUCUCCUGAUCAACUUCUCCCACAAUGUCUCCUUGUAAUCAUUCUCUCUCUAGGAGUUUCUCUUUUGAGCCGCAAAAAUGGCAGGAGGUGGACAAUCAACAAAUGCUUCGUCUUCUGCUAGGCUUGCUAAGGCCUUCAUUGCUGGAUUGGAACACGAAAGUAUGAAGCUAAAAGUUCUCAAGGUUGAAUAGAUUUGAAAAUCAAAUUGGAAGUGGCAGAGAUAUGAGUUUUUUUUUUUUUUUUUUGCUCCGUAGUUGUUUUUGAGUUGAAGCGGCUUCUGAACUUUAUCUCCUCCAUUGAAGUGAUAUCUGAGGUAAGCUGUCUUUAUUAAUCUCAUCGAAUAUCAUAUUCACAAUCUAGGGCUCGUCGAGCCGUCGUUAAUUUACUUGUUAGUUUGUUUUAGAAUUCUUCUAAGAUUGAAUAUUGAACUAAUGGUUAUAAAUAAUGAAGUUUUAAAAAAUUGUAUGACUGAUUUUACUGAGAUUUUUGAGCGAGAAGAAUUUUAUGUCAGGUUGAUUGAAAGGUGCUGUUGAACAAAUAUUCAAAUUACUGAAUUUUAUACUACCUCCGG